rnacentral:rRNA from 1 species
GACGAACGCUGGCGGCGUGCCUAAUACAUGCAAGUUGAGCGCUGAAGGUUGGUACUUGUACCAACUGGAUGAGCAGCGAACGGGUGAGUAACGCGUGGGGAAUCUGCCUUUGAGCGGGGGACAACAUUUGGAAACGAAUGCUAAUACCGCAUAAAAACUUUAAACACAAGUUUUAAGUUUGAAAGAUGCAAUUGCAUCACUCAAAGAUGAUCCCGCGUUGUAUUAGCUAGUUGGUGAGGUAAAGGCUCACCAAGGCGAUGAUACAUAGCCGACCUGAGAGGGUGAUCGGCCACAUUGGGACUGAGACACGGCCCAAACUCCUACGGGAGGCAGCAGUAGGGAAUCUUCGGCAAUGGACGAAAGUCUGACCGAGCAACGCCGCGUGAGUGAAGAAGGUUUUCGGAUCGUAAAACUCUGUUGGUAGAGAAGAACGUUGGUGAGAGUGGAAAGCUCAUCAAGUGACGGUAACUACCCAGAAAGGGACGGUUAACUACGU